AUUGAACGCUGGCGGCAGGCCUAACACAUGCAAGUCGAACGGUAACAGGAAGAAGCUUGCUUCUUUGCUGACGAGUGGCGGACGGGUGAGUAAUGUCUGGGAAACUGCCUGAUGGAGGGGGAUAACUACUGGAAACGGUAGCUAAUACCGCAUAACGUCGCAAGACCAAAGAGGUGGACCUUCGGGCCUCUUGCCAUCGGAUGUGCCCAGAUGGGAUUAGCUAGUAGGUGGGGUAACGGCUCACCUAGGCGACGAUCCCUAGCUGGUCUGAGAGGAUGACCAGACACACUGGAACUGAGACACGGUCCAGACUCCUACGGGAGGCAGCAGUGGGGAAUAUUGCACAAAGGGCGCAAGACUGAUGCAGCCAUGCCGCGUGUAUGAAGAAGGCCUUCGGGUUGUAAAGUACUUUCAGCGGGGAGGAAGGGAGUAAAGUUAAUACCUUUGCUCAUUGACGUUACCCGCAGAAGAAGCACCGGCUAACUCCGUG
rnacentral:rRNA from 1 species